UACAGGGGGUGCAAACGUUGCUCGGAAUCAUUGGGCGUAAAGCGCACGUAGGCGGUCUGUUAUGUCGGAUGUGAAAGCCCUUGGCUCAACUGAGGAAGUGCAUCCGAAACUGGCAGGCUAGAGUACUAAAGAGGAUCGCGGAAUUCCCGGUGUAGAGGUGAAAUUCGUAGAUAUCGGAAGGAACACCUGUGGCGAAAGCGGCUCACUGGACCAUAACUGACGCUGAGGCGCGGAAAGCGUGGGUAGCAACGAGGA
rnacentral:rRNA from 1 species